AUUGAACGCUGGCGGCAGCCUAACACAUGCAAGUCGAGCGGCAGCACGGGAAGCUUGCUUCCUGAUGGCGAGCGGCGGACGGGUGAGUAAUGCAUAGAAAUCUGCCCGGUAGUGGGGGAUAACCUGGGGAAACCCAGGCUAAUACCGCAUACGUCCUACGGGAGAAAGCAGGGGAUCUUCGGACCUUGCGCUAUCGGAUGAGUCUAUGUCGGAUUAGCUUGUUGGUGAGGUAAUGGCUCACCAAGGCGACGAUCCGUAGCUGGUCUGAGAGGAUGAUCAGCCACAUCGGGACUGAGACACGGCCCGAACUCCUACGGGAGGCAGCAGUGGGGAAUAUUGGACAAUGGGCGAAAGCCUGAUCCA
rnacentral:rRNA from 1 species